AUGGACAUGAGGGACAACUCUCAGCUCCUGGGGCUUCUGCUGCUCUGGUUUUCAGGUGUGAGAUGUGACAUCCUAAUGACUCAGUCUCCAUCCUUACUGUCUGCAUCUCUGGGAGACAGAAUCACCAUCAAUUGCAAGGCCAGUGAGCAUAUUAAUAAUUACUUAGGUUGGUAUCAGCAGAAACCAGGGGAAGCUCCUAAACUCCUGAUCUAUGGUGCAUCCAAUCUGCAAACUGGGAUCCCAUCAAGGUUCAGUGGCAGUGGAUCUGGUACAGAUUUCACUCUCACCAUCAGCAUGCUGGAGCCUGAAGACAUGGGUAUUUACUACUGUCAACAGUAUUAUAGUAACCCUCCCACAGUGAUUCAAGUCAUAACAAAAACCUCCCCAGGAAGCAGAAGUGCAAGGCUGUGCUGCCCAGCUGCUCCAGCUGGUGUAUACAGCUGUACCUUUUCCAGGUGA